ACGAUGGCGUUGUGUGAUUCAUAUAGCCGACCCCACCUAGUGGGAUAAGGCUUGUUGUUGUUGUUGUUUUACACGAUCAAGGCAGU